GGCAUCAGAUUUGAAGUAAAGAUUUAUCGGUAAUGGAUGGGGAUGCGUCUGAUUAGCUUGUUGGCGGGGUAACGGCCCACCAAGGCAACGAUCAGUAGGGGUUCUGAGAGGAAGGUCCCCCACAUUGGAACUGAGACACGGUCCAAACUCCUACGGGAGGCAGCAGUGAGGAAUAUUGGUCAAUGGACGGAAGUCUGAACCAGCCAAGUAGCGUGCAGGAUGACGGCCCUAUGGGUUGUAAACUGCUUUUGUAUGGGGAUAAAGUUAGGGACGUGUCCCUAUUUGCAGGUACCAUACGAAUAAGGACCGGCUAAUUCCGUGCCAGCAGCCGCGGUAAUACGGAAGGUCCAGGCGUUAUCCGGAUUUAUUGGGUUUAAAGGGAGCGUAGGCUGGAGAUUAAGUGUGUUGUGAAAUGUAGACGCUCAACGUCUGAAUUGCAGCGCAUACUGGUUUCCUUGAGUACGCACAACGUUGGCGGAAUUCGUCGUGUAGCGGUGAAAUGCUUAGAUAUGACGAAGAACUCCGAUUGCGAAGGCAGCUGACGGGAGCGCAACUGACGCUUAAGCUCGAAGGUGCGGGUAUCAAACAGGAUUAGAUACCCUGGUAGUCCGCACAGUAAACGAUGGAUGCCCGCUGUUGGUACCUGGUAUCAGCGGCUAAGCGAAAGCAUUAAGCAUCCCACCUGGGGAGUACGCCGGCAACGGUGAAACUCAAAGGAAUUGACGGC
rnacentral:rRNA from 1 species